rnacentral:rRNA from 1 species
AUUGAACGCUGGCGGCAGGCCUAACACAUGCAAGUCGAACGAGUGGCGGACGGGUGAGUAAUGUCUGGGAAACUGCCUGAUGGAGGGGGAUAACUACUGGAAACGGUAGCUAAUACCGCAUACCAUCGGAUGUGCCCAGAUGGGAUUAGCUAGUAGGUGGGGUAACGGCUCACCUAGGCUACGAUCCCUAGCUGGUCUGAGAGGAGGACCAUCCACACUGGACCUGAGACACGGUCCAGACUCCUACGGGAGGCAGCAGUGGGGAAUAUUGCACAAUGGGCGCAAGCCUGAUGCAGCCAUGCCGCGGGUGUGAAGAAGGCUUUCGGGUUGUAAAGCACUUUCAGCGGGGAGGCGUUACCCGCAGAAGAAGCACCGGCUAACUCCGUGCCAGCAGCCGCGGUAAUUC